ensembl:lncRNA
AUGCGAGGCCCGCGCCGCUCCUCUCCUCGCCCCGGCAAACCCUGCGCCGGGCUGGGAAACCGCAAAGUGCCGGAGAAAGAGCCCGGCAGGGACGUGGGGAAAAAGGGAGGUUUUCAGCCCGACGCCGUCCCAGCCUCGCAUCCCCUUCCCGAGCAUCGCUGCCUCUCGCGAGGCGUCGGAGCUGCGUGGGGAAGCUGCUGCGUCCUUAAAAGCUGGAGGCUGCUACGCGCCAGGUGUGAGGUGCAGAUGGGUUACGGCCACAGGUGGUGUGGGGUCUGGGGGUGCCCCCCUUGCCCCUGUGUUAUCGGCCAGACUUACACCUCGGUGGGGAUCAGGAUCUGGCCAGCACCGUGCCGCUUCUGGAGCCUCUCCCUUCCCUUCUCUCCUUGCUCCAGCUCUAACAGCCUGAAGGUGAAAUACAGCUGGAGGCUGGAGCCUCCGCUGGGGCAGUGCCUGGCCCCGCUGUGCCCUGCCGUGGGGUUUCCCUGAUUUACGCCACCGAGGGGCCGGCCCCGUGCCUGGAGGGGAACGCUCACGGCCCGAGGCUGUCCGGGGCUGAGCGCUCCCCCGGGGCUGCUCGAGGCAGAGGCUUCCAGCUCCUGCGAGCCCUGCGCCGGGAACACCCCAGCUAAAAAUAACUGCAGGCACUGCGUGAUUCCCCAGCCUUCCCGGUGUUUUAAUUCCCCCACCAAAAGGUGUCACGCGUCCCCUCCAGGCCACGAGCUCCCAGCUGCAGCAGGACUGUGGGGCUCACCUCGGUGUCCCCCGGUCCCAUCCCGAGCAGGGGACCGCGGUGACCCGCGGUGCCCUGCACUCACCAGCACCUCCCGGGCCCUGCCACGUCCCCACUCCUCGUUUUCUGUAACCUGCCUGUCACAUCUGCACUUUAUUCCCUGCCUCCCCUCCCUCCGCUCCUCUCCCCGGCCUUAUCUCUUGAUAGGUACAAGCGAUACAACCAGAAACGUCCGUGUAACAAGCUGCCGGCUGCCGGGCACCCAGGAAAACACCAGCUCGGGGGGAUGAUUUAUGAAAAUAGCACGGGAGAGGGAAGCGGCGAGUUUGCCGGGGUGUAGCAGCAGGAUGCAGGUUGGAGGAAAUAACGACUGCCUGCUCCUGUCCCUGCUCACCGGGCAGCACCAGCACCUUUGAUCCCCGGCUGAUCUGUAUGCGGGGCCGUGCUGGGCACGGGGGCGAUGCGCGGCGAGGACACGGCACGCAUCGGGGGGGCCGCCGGCGCGCUGCACUGCAGAGCCCCCGACGGGCUGUCCCUCUGCGGCCAUUGAUUUCCAUGAAAUAAGCCAGCCGGGUGUGUAAUUGUGUACAGAUAGCGCAGCCUCCUUUACAUGCCGUUCUGCAGGGCCCUCGCUAGCAGGAAAUGAAACUUUUCAGGCCGCUAGACAUUUAGUUCGGUUCUUGAGCUGUUAAUUCCCCCGCCCCGGCGUCGCGAGCAGGGAGGGGAGCUCUCGCACCUUGCGGGCAGGGGACAGCGGCGAUGCCACCCCAGGGGACAGCAGUUGGGAGCCUCCUGCCCCUUUGGCCCCAUCCCACUGCCGGCUGUGAUUCUGCCCCCUCCAAGCCCCAAGGGCCUGCGGGGGGGGGGGUCGCUUCCCUGUGGCACGGAGCGAGCAUCCGCUCCCCUCUGCGCGCUCCUAUCUCGCAAGGUAACCGGCAUUAUAUCCGGACCAAUUGCUCCAGCAUGAUCCUCCUGAAUGUUGCACAGCAUGUACACGGCGUCUUAUGUAAAAUACAUGCCCCUGGGCGAGCCUUUUAAUAGCAAUGUCUCCUGCCUGGGGGACGGGGGGGGCCGCUCUCUGCCACGGCGGUGCCAAGAAAUGAUUGAAAAGUUGGGGCUCGCCGUGGGGAACACCCCGCUGGGGGGAACAACGUGUUUUCAUUUCCCUGCCAGGUAACAAAUGAAAAGAAUUGCAAUGAAUGCUAAUGGCCGGGGAAGCGCCUCGCUCGCUCGGGAGGACGCUGCGGGGCCGGGAGCCGCGGGCACAGCCCAGUUUUUGCAGGCAGGAGCCGGCCGUGCGGAGGGCGAUGGGACUGCGGAUACCCUGGCACUCAGCUCCUGCACCAGUGUGUGCUGAGCUGCUGCGCCAAAACUGUUCCUUUUGCAGCAAAGCAGAGCUGGGGGGGGGAUACAUUGUCCCCCCCCCAGGCUCCUGUGCUGACUUUUGCAGCGCACCCAGGGCUGGGAGCGUGCGAGCCCUGCAUUUAACCAGGUCCUCGCAGGCGGCGGCGAAGGGCUGUGCCAGGCUGAGCUGUUUGUAAAUGUAGCCGGUCUGGUAAGCAGGAGGGUAAACACGGAUGAAUAGCCUUCAUCCACUCCAGUAAAUAUUUUAUAUCACACACCAAGAAAAGACACUCCCAUUUAAAUGAUUUAUAAAGGAAGAUCAUGUAGAGGUUUCUAUAAAAUAUGUAGGGCUCCUAAUCCCGACAUCAUCAAGCAAAGAGGACUGAAAUCAUAUAUUACCUUUUCAACAGCCUUGCCGGCUGCAGGGAUACAACUGACAAAUAAAAGUGUGUUUACAGCUUUUGGGCUCCUCCGG